GACGAACGCUGGCGGCGUGCCUAAUACAUGCAAGUUGAGCGCUGAAGGUUGGUACUUGUACCAACUGGAUGAGCAGCGAACGGGUGAGUAACGCGUGGGGAAUCUGCCUUUGAGCGGGGGACAACAUUUGGAAACGAAUGCUAAUACCGCAUAAAAACUUUAAACACAAGUUUUAAGUUUGAAAGAUGCAAUUGCAUCACUCAAAGAUGAUCCCGCGUUGUAUUAGCUAGUUGGUGAGGUAAAGGCUCACCAAGGCGAUGAUACAUAGCCGACCUGAGAGGGUGAUCGGCCACAUUGGGACUGAGACACGGCCCAAACUCCUACGGGAGGCAGCAGUAGGGAAUCUUCGGCCAUGGACGGAAGUCUGACCGAGCAACGCCGCGUGAGUGAAGAAGGGUUUCGGAUCGUAAAACUCUGUUGGUAGGGAAGAACGUUGGUGAGAGUGGAAAGCUCAUCAAGUGACGGUAACUACCCAGAAAGGGGCGGCUAACUACGUG
rnacentral:rRNA from 1 species